rnacentral:rRNA from 1 species
AAUAGAUACCCAGGUAGUCCACGCCGUAAACGAUGAAUGCUAGCCGUUGGCCGGUUUACCGGUCAGUGGCGCAGCUAACGCUUUAAGCAUUCCGCCUGGGGAGUACGGUCGCAAGAUUAAACUCAAAGGAAUUGACGGGGGCCCGCACAAGCGGUGGAGCAUGUGGUUUAAUUCGACGCAACGCGAAGAACCUUACCGGCUCUUGACAUGUCUCGUAUGGAUUUCAGAGAUGAGAUCCUUCAGUUCGGCUGGCGAGAACACAGGUGCUGCAUGGCUGUCGUCAGCUCGUGUCGUGAGAUGUUGGGUUAAGUCCCGCAACGAGCGCAACCCUGCCCUUAGUUGCCAUCAUUAAGUUGGGCACUCUAAGGGGACUGCCGGUGAUAAGCCGCGAGGAAGUGGGGAUGACGUCAAGUCCUCAUGGCCCUUACGGGCCGGGCCACACACGUGCUACAAUGGUGGUGACAGUGGGAAGCAGUGGAGCAAUCCUGCGCAAAUCUCAAAAAGCCAUCUCAGUUCGG